ACGGGCACAUCACGCUGAAACACCGAUUCCCAUACGAUCACGGAUUUUAAGCAAAGUUCAGCUUGGUCAGUGCCUUGAUGGAUGACCACUUGGGAAUACCAGGCGAUGUAAG